AACCUGCCCAAGAGAUCGGGAUAACACCUGGAAACAGAUGCUAAUACCGGAUAACAACAGAUGAUGCCUAUCAACUGUUUAAAAGAUGGUUCUGCUAUCACUCUUGGAUGGACCUGCGGUGCAUUAGCUAGUUGGUAGGGUAACGGCCUACCAAGGCGAUGAUGCAUAGCCGAGUUGAGAGACUGAUCGGCCACAUUGGGACUGAGACACGGCCCAAACUCCUAGGGAGGCAGCAGCG
rnacentral:rRNA from 1 species